AGCGAACGCUGGCGGCAUGCCUAACACAUGCAAGUCGCACGGGGGGGCUUCGGCCUCCCAGUGGCGGACGGGUGAGGAACGCGUAGGGACCUGUCGAGGGGUGGGGGAUAACCGCGGGAAACUGCGGCUAAUACCGCCUGACGCCGCGGCGUGACAGCCGGGGCCAAAGGCGAAAGCCGCCCGCCGAGGGGCCUGCGUCCGAUUAGCUGGUUGGCGGGGUAGCGGCCCACCAAGGCGUCGAUCGGUAGCUGGUCUGAGAGGGUGAUCAGCCACACCGGGACUGAGACACGGCCCGGAAUCCUACGGGAGGCAGCAGUGGGGAAUAUUGGAAUAUGGGCGCAAGCCUGAUCCAGCAAUGCCGCGUGGGUGAAGAAGGUCUGCGGAUUGUAAAGCCCUUUCGGCGGGGACGAUGGUGACGGUACCCGCAGAAGAAGCCCCGGCUAACUUCGUG
rnacentral:rRNA from 1 species